rnacentral:lncRNA from 1 species
GAAAAAGAGAAGCUGGUGGUCAUAUGGUUCUUCUAUCUGUUCCUCGUUCUCUCCCAACGGACUUCGUGUGUGUAGGGCAAGGUGCACGGCAUGUCGCUUGAAGAACUUCACCAGCUUCGUUUUUUCCUUUUUCUCGCGACGGUAGUUCUCGUAGUUUUACAGUGUCACCCAUGUCUCCCUGGGCUUCAAUAAAAUACACAGAUGAAGGCCACGGAAAGCGGAAACGCAAGCUUGAGAACUACGAUGGUGUUCCCCGAGCAUCUUCUUUCCUUCCUCUUCCUCUGGAAUAUUUAGUUGACCAAAGUUUUGUAAUUCCUACAUGAGUGCGGCGCAGAUUUGAGACUUCACUUCCCAUGAUCGUGAUAAACUAUAUCAGUGCUAUUCGGCAAAUUAGAAAAAGAAUUGGUGAAGGAAGAGGCACUGAAUCCUACUAGUCUGACAAUUCCGUUACUUCUGGAGAUUCUUCUCCUAAAGAAAACAGAAAUAGUCUCCUCAUGGUUUUCAAGAUCGAGAAGCAAACAGCAAUGCUUCCAGAACUCCUCUUGUUUUCUAGAAUUUUUCUGGCGCAGAUAUGAAGCCGCUACAAGACAGGAAUGGAGACAUGGCGGCAAAAGGUGAAGAAGAAAC